rnacentral:rRNA from 1 species
ACUCCUACGGGAGGCAGCAGUGGGGAAUAUUGCACAAUGGGGGAAACCCUGAUGCAGCCAUGCCGCGUGUGUGAAGAAGGCCUUCGGGUUGUAAAGCACUUUCAGUAGGGAGGAAGGUAGUGUAGUUAACACCUGCAUUAUUUGACGUUACCUACAGAAGAAGCACCGGCUAACUCCGUGCCAGCAGCCGCGGUAAUACGGAGGGUGCGAGCGUUAAUCGGAAUUACUGGGCGUAAAGCGCAUGCAGGCGGCCUGUUAAGUCAGAUGUGAAAGCCCGGGGCUUAACCUCGGAAUUGCAUUUGAAACUGGCAGGCUAGAGUCUUGUAGAGGGGGGUAGAAUUUCAGGUGUAGCGGUGAAAUGCGUAGAGAUCUGAAGGAAUACCAGU